AUUAGCUAGUUGGUGAGGUAACGGCUCACCAAGGCCACGAUCCGUAGCUGGUCUGAGAGGAUGAUCAGCCACAUCGGGACUGAGACACGGCCCGAACUCCUACGGGAGGCAGCAGUGGGGAAUAUUGGACAAUGGGGGCAACCCUGAUCCAGCCAUGCCGCGUGUGUGAAGAAGGCCCUCGGGUUGUAAAGCACUUUCAGCGAGGAAGAACGCCUAGCGGUUAAUACCCGCUAGGAAAGACAUCACUCGCAGAAGAAGCACCGGCUAACUCCGUGCCAGCAGCCGCGGUAAUACGGAGGGUGCAAGCGUUAAUCGGAAUUACUGGGCGUAAAGCGCGCGUAGGUGGCUUGAUAAGCCGGUUGUGAAAGCCCCGGGCUCAACCUGGGAACGGCAUCCGGAACUGUCAAGCUAGAGUGCAGGAGAGGAAGGUAGAAUUCCCGGUGUAGCGGUGAAAUGCGUAGAGAUCGGGAGGAAUACCAGUGGCGAAGGCGGCCUUCUGGACUGACACUGACACUGAGGUGCGAAAGCGUGGGUAGCAAACAGGAUUAGAUACCCUGGUAGUCCACGCCGUAAACGAUGUCGACCAGCCGUUGGGUGCCUAGCGCACUUUGUGGCGAAGUUAACGCGAUAAGUCGACCGCCUGGGGAGUACGGCCGCAAGGUUAAAACUCAAAUGAAUUGACGGGGGCCCGCACAAGCGGUGGAGCAUGUGGUUUAAUUCGAUGCAACGCGAAGAACCUUACCUACUCUUGACAUCCUGCGAAUUUGGUAGAGAUACCUUAGUGCCUUCGGGAACGCAGAGACAGGUGCUGCAUGGCUGUCGUCAGCUCGUGUUGUGAAAUGUUGGGUUAAGUCCCGUAACGAGCGCAACCCUUGUCCUUAUUUGCCAGCGCGUAAUGGCGGGAACUCUAAGGAGACUGCCGGUGACAAACCGGAGGAAGGUGGGGACGACGUCAAGUCAUCAUGGCCCUUACGAGUAGGGCUACACACGUGCUACAAUGGUCGGUACAAAGGGUUGCCAACUCGCGAGAGUGAGCCAAUCCCGAAAAGCCGAUCUCAGUCCGGAUCGGA
rnacentral:rRNA from 1 species